rnacentral:rRNA from 1 species
AUGCUUGCACUUUCUAUAUGGAGCUGGGAGCGAUUGCCGGUUGGACGACCGAAGACCGUGAAGUACGAGGAUUGGGACGACAAAGACGACCCACUACGGAUCCCCGCUUGGGCUUACAAAUGGGAUGUGGUAAAUGAGACAACGAAUGAUCCCUCGGUCAUGUACAAGUUGUACACAAGCGAGCUCGACACGAUUACGGCUGAGAAGGUGACUUGA